rnacentral:lncRNA from 1 species
AUGGGCGAUUCCUUGCUAUCUGAACCCACCCUCGCAGCUGAGCCCACCCCCUCCCUUGCAGCGGCAUCGCCCACUCCUGCAGCAGCAGAACCCGGAGUCUCUCUAGCUCCUCCCACUAGCACAGCAGCCGCCACCUCCCCUGGCGCCGCCAAUGUGGAUCUGUUGGGAGAAGCCUUUGCAACUCCUGCUCCUGCCGCUGAGGCCUCCGCAGGAGCAGCUGAAGGUGGGGCUGCUGCUACAUCCACCCCAGCUGCUAACGCUGGAACUGACCCCUUUGCUCCCUCAGAUGGUAGCACCAACGCAGCAUCUUCAGGUCUAGACCUUUUCGGCAUGAUGUCAGUGGAGAGCAAUAACCUGGCUAGUUCCCUGGAUGCCUGUUUUAGCUCCGGUGUGCCCCAGCCCUCCCCUUCCCAUUCCCCUUCACCGCUCUUCACCUCCUCAUCCAACACCAUCACCACCACUGCAACCAUUUCAGCUCCCAUUGCCGCCAGCACCACCAGCCCUGGGACUGACCUUUUCAGUGAUAUCUUUGACUCCAUGCCAGACACGAGCUUCUCCAAAACAGACCCCGCUCCCAGUGCUGACUUGUUUUCAGCAGCAGAUGUGUUCAGCUCCUCUGCCCCCAUCCUCUCCUCAGCACCCCCAUCCAAAAUUGACACAGGAGCCAUCAUGAAUCUGUUUGGUGAGCCCACAGGAGGAGAUGCCCCAGCUGCUGCUGCUGCCCCUGCUCCUGUUGCCCCCGGUGCUGAACUGAUGUCAGGGGAUGUAAUGAAGCCCACGGUGACUCCCCAGGCUGGGGAUGUUGACACCUCUAUGGCUAACAUGGCAAGUAAUCUCACAAUGGGAACUCCAGCGGCCCCUCAGGCCGGAGCACCAGUUGCUGGAGCUCCCAUGAUGCCAAUGGCGAGACCAGGCUUCCCAGCCGCUGGGGUGACCCCAGGAGCACCGAUGUCUCCUGGAAUGGCCCAGAGCCCCAGGAAGCCUCCACCACCCAGGAACGCUCUGGAUGACCUCAAUAUUAAGGACUUCAUGUAGACUGACUGAUCCAGAAACCCCCAAGGUUUGUCAUCGUGUCUGGAGCUCUGUGGAUGUGGAUGUCUGCACCCCCCCGCCCCUUUUCUCUGCCCCUUCAGCCAGCCAGCCAUCAACUCUUCGAUCUUUGCCCCCCCCCCCACCAGCCGCGACCCCUGAAAGCAACCUGCCCUCUUUAUCUAAUGUUGUAGCACAACUGUGAAUGUGAACCCUAGAUACAGAAAAGAGAAUUCCGUUUAUGUGUGUGUGGGUGUGUGUGUUAUUCAGUGUUAACAUUUACUUAAUAUACUACAGAAAAAUUAACAAAAAAAUCAGUAAAUGUGUAUUUAGAUUCAUUCUGGAUUUUGGCGUAUCAGCUGACUUGGAAUGGUGGAUAUAUGUUGGUUUCUUUGCGCAUCUCCCAGACGAAGACUGUGUUGUUCAAUGUGGACUGUGUUCGGUGUAACUUCACUGGCCAACUCCCACUCCUCUAUCCCUGUUGUUCAGACUAAUACUGUUUAUUGUCAUUAAAGACUUGGUUGUACCCAUAUAUAUAUCUGAUGGCCAUCCAUCCUACCUGUCUACUUCAAGUUUUUUGGACAAAAGCUCCUUAUCAAAAUGUACUUAAACACCACUUGCAAUGCAAAUCUGGGCUUAUCACUAAGGACAUUAAACAGUGUUUCGUUUCAUUUUCACAUUAUCUUUUUUUAGGGAUUGUAUGAAACAUGCAAAAAUUGACAUAUGCAUUUUAGACUAUUUUAAAUGACAGAUUAUACAUAUUUUCUUUAUUUUAAGUGAAAAAGUGUAUCAUAUAUUUUUAGUUACAUUAAAUUAUAUGGUUGGAUAAAAAUGCAAGUAGACUUAAAAGUUUCCCACUUUGUACAUACCUCUGAAGCUGUAACAAAGGCAGUAUUGAGUGGAAAUGUUGCUCAGAGUGUGUGCUGUGUCGCCCUUUGCUGGUGUGGAGUGGUACUGCAUCAUGAUGUGCAACACAGGUGAAUCUGGGAGGCACUCUGAAAGAGCUCCAUUCCUUGUUUUGUCUCUACGUACGAUGAGUCCAAGUUAAGGUGGAAACAAAGACACGAGGAAGUGUUUGUGAUUGGCCUCAGUUGUUUUUGGGCGAUUUGUGAUAGAGCAGCAGUCGGUACAUUUGUUCAUGUGCUGCUUAAGGAUAAUGGGCUCACUGUAAAGCACUCGAGUAUAAGCUGGAUGUUCUGUGUAUUAUUUCAAAAAGUGACUGUAUCUUAAUCCAUUGUGGCAUUAACAAAGUGUUGAAGGAAAAAUAAAAAUGGCACCCAAAAACAAGAAGAAUGUGGAUGAAUAUCAAAAAUGAAGGAUUCCUUUUGUUUUUUGUUACAUGGAUGGCAUCAUCCUCCCUCCCUCAACCCCACCUGCAUGUGAGUCCAAAUGAGAUGCAAUAAAAGACACAUCCGUUG